rnacentral:rRNA from 1 species
UACGGAGGGAGCGAACGUUGUUCGGAUUUACUGGGCGUAAAGGGUGUGUAGGCGGUCUUGUAAGUCUGGGGUGAAAUCCCUCGGCUCAACCGAGGAACGGCGCUUGAUACUGCAUGGCUUGAGGGAGACAGGGGUAAGCGGAACUGAUGGUGGAGCGGUGAAAUGCGUUGAUAUCAUCAGGAACACCAGUGGCGAAAGCGGCUUACUGGGUCUCUUCUGACGCUGAGGAGCGAAAGCUAGGGUAGCGAACGGG